ACCAAACAUCCUGGUUUUCCUGGGACUGAGGGAUUUCCAAGGCUGUGGAGCUUUCAGUGGUAAAACUGGGAAAG
rnacentral:miRNA from 1 species